rnacentral:rRNA from 1 species
GUGGGGAAUAUUGGACAAUGGGCGAAAGCCUGAUCCAGCAACGCCGCGUGAGGGAUGACGGCCUUCGGGUUGUAAACCUCUUUCAGCAGGGACGAAGCGAAAGUGACGGUACCUGCAGAAGAAGCACCGGCCAACUACGUGCCAGCAGCCGCGGUAAUACGUAGGGUGCGAGCGUUGUCCGGAAUUAUUGGGCGUAAAGAGCUCGUAGGCGGUCCAUCACGUCGGGAGUGAAACGCUGGGGCUUAACCCCAGUCCUGCUUCCGAUACGGGUGGACUAGAGGUAGGCAGGGGAGAACGGAAUUCCUGGUGUAGCGGUGAAAUGCGCAGAUAUCAGGAGGAACACCGGUGGCGAAGGCGGUUCUCUGGGCCUUACCUGACGCUGAGGAGCGAAAGCGUGGGGAGCAAACAGG